rnacentral:rRNA from 1 species
GACGAACGCUGGCGGCGUGCUUAACACAUGCAAGUCGAACGAUGAAGCCCAGCUUGCUGGGUGGAAGAGUGGCGAACGGGUGAGUAACACGUGAGUAACCUGCCCAUCACUCUGGGAUAAGCGCUGGAAACGGCGUCUAAUACUGGAUAUGAACAGCGACCGCAUGGUCAGUUGUUGGAAAGAUUUAUUGGUGAUGGAUGGACUCGCGGCCUAUCAGCUAGUUGGUGAGGUAAUGGCUCACCAAGGCGACGACGGGUAGCCGGCCUGAGAGGGUGACCGGCCACACUGGGACUGAGACACGGCCCAG